rnacentral:rRNA from 1 species
UUGGAGGGCAAGUCUGGUGCCAGCAGCCGCGGUAAUUCCAGCUCCGAUAGCGUAUAUUAAAGUUGUUGCAGUUAAAAAGCUCGUAGUUGAACUUCAGGCCUGGCUGGACGGUCCGCCUUCCGGGCGAGUACUGUCUGUGGUCGGGUCCUACCUUCUGGCGAAGCGUCAUGGUCUUAACCGGCCGUGGCGGGGAACCAGGACUUUUACUGUGAAAAAAUUAGAGUGUUCAAAGCAGGCAAUUUGCUUGGAUACAUUAGCAUGGAAUAAUGGAAUAGGACAAUGGUUCUAUUUGUUGGUUUCUAGGACUGUUGUAAUGAUUAAUAGGGAUAGUUGGGGGCAUUAGUAUUCAAUUGUCAGAGGUGAAAUUCUUGGAUUUAUUGAAGACUAACUACUGCGAAAGCAUUUGCCAAGGAUGUUUUCAUUAAUCAAGAACGAAAGUUAGGGGAUCGAAGACGAUCAGAUACCGUCGUAGUCUUAACCAUAAACUAUGCCGACUAGGAAUCGGGCGAUGUUGAAAAAAUGACGCGCUCGGCACCUCAUGGGAAACCAAAGUGUUUGGGUUC